rnacentral:rRNA from 1 species
GUGGGUUCGGCGGAGGGAUGGUGGCAUGCGGGUCUGGAGGAAGGUGGCAUUUGAAUCUGGAACGUGUGUUUCGAAGGAGAAAUGGGGCAUUUGAUUGUGAAUUGGGACAUGUAGGGCUGGGGUAUUUGCUUGUCAGUGGGGGCAUGAAGAAUCAUUACCAGCGGAGCAGCCGGAGGGGAGAGCCGCAGGCCCGACCUCGGUUGCGUCCCAGACGUGCACACCCACCCGCCGGGGCACCCCUCGCGCUACAGUCUGGCCAGCAGAGCGGUCCGAGGCAUGUGGGCAACCAGGCGCCGGGGAGCAGGUUUCACCGGAAGAGGGUCCGCAACCCAGCAGAUGGACGGGGACGCCUGGCAGGGUCGGGUGACCCGGCUGGAGAUAUCCCCAACAACGCACCAGAGAGGGAGCCCCCGCAUGGACCAUCCUCGCCCGCUGCACGCUCCUCUCUCUAAUCCGCCAGCGGGCAGGCAUUGGUGGCGUACCCCAGUUGGCAGGGAAGUCCAGAGUGGGGGCAGCCGGAAGCCGAGGGAAACCUGGCUGUUCUCGAGGGACGCCUCCUCAGGCAGAUGGGCCCAGCAUGGCAGGCCAAGCCAUGGCGCAGCAGGCUUACUCGGGUGGGUGUUGAGGUUGCAGCCGCCCACAUCUGUGGGCAAGCGAGGGCCAGUCCUGCUGGCGCAUAUGGAAUCCUUCCCUCUUGCCCAGGUACCUGCAGCUUGGCCCUGUGUGGCCGGGCUGGGGUUUGAAGAUUUGAAGACUCUAGCGGUCCCACCCAACCCCCUGUCCGUGCUGUCUCUGGCCCGCCCCCUCUGCUGCCGCCCCCCACGAAAGGGGAGCGGAGCGGGUCGGGCAGGUGGCGAAGCGGCCUGCCUCCAUCCCCGUGCGAAGUGCUGUCCUGCUGCAGGCGGCGGCAAGGCUUGCCGGGCUGAGCGUUUUUUUUGUUCUAAACCACAAUGGUCUCGGUCGACUUCCAAGUGGGCAAGCUAGACAGGACGCUGGGUUGUCUCUCCACCAGCGCCGCUGCCUUUCUCUGGCCUCUUCUGCACCUGCAGGGACAGGCCAACACCUGGCCAUGGAAGUCGGAAUCCGCUAAGGAGUGUGUAACAAUUCACCUGCAAAAUCAACUAGCCCUGAAAAUUGAUGUCACUGGAGCGUCUGGCCCAUACCCGGCCAGCGCUGAGAGCCGCAGGGCUAAGCCGCAAUGAGUAAGAGGGCCGGUGCAGGUGCGCACAGAAGCCCAGGUGGACCUACCGCAGGGGCAGAUCUGGUUGUAGCGAUAUUCAAACAAGAACUUUGAAGGCUGAAGUGGAGAAGGGUUCCAUGUGAACAGCAGUUGAGCAUGGGUCAGUUGGUCCUAAGAAAUGGUCGAGCGCCGUUCGGAAGGGAGCGCCAUUCGGAAGGGAGUCGAGUUCAGAUCCCCGAACUCAGUGGCGGAGACGUGCGGCGUCCAUUGCGGUAAUGCAAAUGAUCCCAGAGAAGCUGGCGGGAUCCCCAGGGAGAGUUCUGUUUUCUUUGUGAAGGGCAGGGCACCCUGGAAUGGGUUCGGCCCGAGAGGGGCCCGAGCCUUGGAAAGUGUUGCAGUUCUGGCGGCGUCCGGGGAGCUCUCGCAAGUCCUUCAAAAUCCGGGGGAGAUGGUGUAAAUCUCGCGCCAGGCCAUACCCAUAUCCGCAGCAGUUCCCCAAGGCGAACAGCCUCUGGCAUGUUGGAAAAUGUAGGUAAGGGAAGUUGGCAAGUCACAUUUGUAACUUCGGGAAGGGCUGGGUUGGACGGCCUGGGGUGUGAAGCGGGGCAGGCAUCUUCCCAACCCCCCCCCGGGGGCAGCGCUGACUCUCGAUGUGAGCCAGACCCUUUUGUGGAUCGCCCCAGCUGCAGUGGUCGCCUCUCUCCAUUCCCCUCCUGGGGUUUGGGCCGGCGUUCUGCCUCGCCCGACGCCUAGCAGCUGACUUGGAACUGGUGCAGAUCAGGGGAAUCUGACUGUUAAAUUAAAACGAAGCACCGCGUAAGGCCCACGGUGGGUGUUGACGCAAUGGGAUUUCUGACCAGUGCUCAAUGUCAAAUUGAAGGAAUUCAAUGAAGCGCGGGUAAACGGCAGAGUAACUAUGACUCUCUUAAGGUAGCCAAAUGCCUCGUCAUCUAAUUAGUGACGCGCAUGAAUGGAUGAACGAGAUUCCCACUGUCCCUACCUACUAUCUAGCAAAACCAUAGCCAUGGGAACAGGCCUUCCAGAAUCAGCGGGGACAGAAUACCCCGUUGAGAGUCACCUCUAGUCUGGCACUGUGAAGAGACAUGAGAGGUGUAGGAUAAGUGGGAGGCCCUCAAGCUGCCAGUGAAAUACCACUACUUUUAUCAUUUUUUUCACUUACCCAGUGAGGCGUGGGCGAGCCCCGUUGGACUCUCGCUUCUGGCUCCAAGUGCUGGGCGCGACCCACUCCAGGGACAGUGGCAGGUGGGGAGUUUGACUGGGGCGGUACACCUGGAAAACCAUAACGCAGGUGUCCUAAGACGAGCUCAGGGAGGACAGAAACCUCCCACUGAGCAGAAGGGCAAAAGCUUGCUUGAUCUCGAUUUUCAGUAUGAAUACAGACCGUGAAAUGGGGCCUCAGGAUCCUUCUGACUUUUUGGGUUUCAAGCAGGAGGUGUCAGAAAAGUUAUCACAGGUAUAACUGGCUUGUGGUGGUCAAGCGUUCAUAGCGACGUCGCUUUUUGAUCCUUCGAUGUUGGCUCUUCCUAUCAUUGUGAAGCAGAAUUCACCAAGCGUUGGAUUGUUCACCCACUAAUAGGGAACAUGAGCUGGGUUUAGACCGUCGUGAGACAGGUUAGUUUUACCCCACUGAUGAUGUGUUUUUGCAAUAGUAAUCCUGCUCAGUAUGAGAGGAACCACAGGUUCAGACAAUUGGUGUAUGUGCUUGGCUGAGGAGACAAUGGGGCAAAGCUACCAUCUGUGGGAUUAUGACUGAACGCCUCUAAGUCAGAAUCCCCCCUAACCGUAACGGUACUGCAGUGCAGCCUCGGUUGGCCUAAGAUAGCAGGUCUCUGGGCCGGGGCGUAGAGCCGCUUGUCACAGGACUCAAGUGUCAACGGAAGAGGGCCACCCUCUUUCGCCUUUAGUGCACAGC